CACGUAUGGGGCGAGCGUUGUUCGGAAUUAUUGGGCGUAAAGGGCAUGCAGGCGGUUAUUUAAGUCUGGCGUGAAAGACCCGAGCUUAACUCGGGGAACGCGUUGGAAACUGGGUGACUAGAGUUCUGGAGGGGAAGCUGGAAUUCCAGGUGUAGGGGUGAAAUCUGUAGAUAUCUGGAAGAACAUCAGUGGCGAAGGCGAGCUUCUAGCCAAGGACUGACGCUGAGAUGCGAAAGCGUGGGGAGCAAACAGG
rnacentral:rRNA from 1 species